UUUUUUUGUAGAGACAGUCCCACUAUGUUUCUUAGCCUGAUCUUGAACUCCAGGGGAUGAGGAGCAUUCCCUCUUUUCAUAUAAACUGUUUUUUGAGUCAGUGUCCCAGGGAUGGGUGACUGGGUCUCCAUCUUUGACUUACUUAAGCAGAAAAUGAAUUUGUUGGAAGGAUAUUGAGCAAUUCACAGAGCUACAAGAAUCCUGGAGAGUCUAAUUUAGGAAACAACAGGAUCUGGUAAUAAGGAUGGAAUAGGGACUCUGCAAAGCAGUCCUGCUCAGAGGAAUUCAUACUAUUUUUUCAUUUUUAAAUAUCUACCGAAGAUUCAACAUUUAAAGAAAGAAAAUGAAUCAGUCAACCUUGGGAAAGCCUGCAUCUUCAAUAGGAGAGAUCAUUUGGCAAAGUUAAAUAGGAAUCUGUCACCCAACGAUACAGAAAUUGUUCUUGGGCAGCAAACACAUGAACAAAACCAGCUACCCCUGCAGUCCCUGUUGCCAGCCUGGUGGCCUGGAGCUUGGUAACCCACUCUGGACAGGUCUUCUGAGUCUCAGACCUGGUAUCUACAUACUUGGUGAAUCAUCUAGUUACUUUAGCUUGAAACUUUUGAGAGUAAUAAUUAAGAGGAGGUUUUGCUUAAAUGUAAACAGAAGUUUUAAUGAACUUUGAACUUGUUUCUUCAAUCUGAUGAAAUUUCUUGGUACCCUGUGCAUCCUGGACAGCUACCCAAGUGACCUUCUGUUACUUGCAAUCUCUUCUGAUUUCCAUGAAAAGUGAAUUAAAAGACAUGACAUUAUUUUCCCA